UACGGAGGGUGCAAGCGUUGUCCGGAUUUAUUGGGUUUAAAGGGUGCGUAGGCGCCCGUUAAGUCAGUGGUGAAAGCCUCCAGCUCAACUGGAGAACUGCCAUUGAUACUGACGGGCUUGAGUACAGACGAGGUUGGGCGGAAUUGAUUGUGUAGCGGUGAAAUGCAUAGAUACAAUCAAGAACUCCGAUUGCGUAGGCAGCUAACUAGGCUGUAACUGACGCUGAGGCACGAAAGCGUGGGGAGCGAACAGG
rnacentral:rRNA from 1 species